ensembl:snoRNA U3 Small nucleolar RNA U3
AAGCCUAUACUUUUCAGGGAUCAUUUCUAUAGCUUGUUACUAGAGGUUUCUCAGAUUAUGUAGAGUACUGGGGGAAAAAAAAUAAUGGGAUGUAGGAAGAUUACUCUUUCUCAAAUGAGAAGGGGAUUAAGA